AGAAAAUGUUAUCAUGCAACCUGGCUGCUCUUAAUAAUGGCAGCUAUAUGAGGGCAGGACAGUUGGCUGCUAUGUCAAUUGUCCAUGAAGGCCCCCCCCCACACUUCAUGUCACGACUGUGUGUUGAUGCACUGAUUCAUGGUCCCGAAGCUGUACAUGUGUCAGUGAAUGAUGUUGCAGAUGAUGAAGUAAGAUCGCAGAUUACAGAAAUUAUGAAUGCUGAUUCCGAAGCCCAAUUGCAAGACAGUGUGGCUAAGGCCCAAGGUGUAAUCUCUAUGGCUGGAUGCUGCAGGGCUAUAAACUUGAGAAAUUGCAAGCAGGUAGCAGAGGAGCUAGCAAAGUGGUAUGUUUUGCAGCGAACUAGGGCAGCUUACGACAGCUUUGCAGAAGGCCUUAAAGCACUUGGAGUGCUAAGUGCACUGAGAGAACAUCCCAAACAAAUGACAGCACUGUUCAUUAAGAAAGACCAACCCCUGACUGCUGAAUUUAUGGAGGAACUGUUCAAAAUUACACUCUCUGAACCAGGCAGCAAUCGGUACAAUGUGGAAUGCAGAACAGUAGGCUA